UUAGGUACGGACAAAAAUGUAAGGUGCUUUUGCUGUGGACUAUUGUUAGGGGAUUGGGAAUCUGAUGAUGAACCAUGGAAAAUACAUACAAAGCACAGGAAGGAUUGUACAUUUUUGCGCUCAAGGCAUGGUGAAGCAAUAGAUGCUAGAGACAGGGAUACUGAGCAGAAAAGGGAGAUGAAAAAGUUGAAGAGCCUGUUGGAGAAGUCUGAAAGUCGUCGACUUUUGCAAGAAAAGCAGCUGAAGAAGGCAAGUAUAUUUUUGUACAGAUAUUAUUUCCAUGGCUAUAGCUCAUGUGUGUCAAUGCAAAUCGUUGAUCUGUUGGAAUAGGGGUACACUGGCAUCAGUUUUUAGCUCACUUGUCACGAAGUGACAAGGUGAGCUAUUGUGACCGCUUGAUGUCUGUCGUCAUCGUGCGUCAACAAUUUCUAAAAAAAAUCUUCUUCUUGAAAACCACUGGGCAGAAUUACACCAAACUUCACAGGAACAAUCCUUGGGUGGCCCCCUUUCAAAAUUGUUCAAAGAAUUGAAUUCCAUGCAGAACUCUGGUUGCCAUUGCAACCGAAAGGAAAAACUUUAAAAAUCUUCUUGUGCAAAACCACAGGGCCUAGGGCUUUGAUAUCUGGUGUGUAGCAUCAUCUAGUGGUCCUCUACCAAAAUUGGUCAAAUUGUCCCCCUAGGGUCAAAUAUGGCCCCGCCCCUGGGGUCACAUGGUUUACAUAGACUUAUAUAGGAAAACUUUGAAAAUCUUCUUGUACAAAACCACAUGGCCUAGGGCUUUGAUAUUUGGUAUGUAGCAUCAUCUAGUGGUCCUCAACCACGAUUAUUCAAAUUAUCCCCCUAGGAUCAAAUAUGGCCCCGCCCCGGGGGUCACAUGGUUUAUAUAGACUUAUAUAGGGAAAACUUUGAAAAUCUUCUUGUACAAAACCACAUGGCCUAGGGCUUUGAUAUUUGGUAUGUAGCAUCAUCUAGUGGUCCUCUACCAAGAUUGUUCAAAUUAUCCCCCUAGGUUCAAAUAUGGCCCCGCCCCGGGGGUCCCAAGUUUUACAUAGACUUAUAUAGGAAAAAAAGUUUAAAGUCUUAUUGUCUGAAACCACAACACUUAGACCUUUGAUAUUUGGUUUGUAGCAUUGUCUUAUGGUCCUCAACCAAAUUUGUUCAAAUUGUACCCCUUGGGUGAAAAGAGGCCCUGCCCUGGGGGUCCCAAGUUUUAUAUAGACUUAUAUAGGAAAAAGCUUUAAAAAUCUUCUUGUCUGAAACCAUACAACCUAGGCUUUUGAUAUUUGGUAUGAUGCAUUGUCUAGUAGUCCUCAACUAAAAUUGUUCAAGUUAUGCUCCUGGGGUUAAAAGAGGCCCCGCCCAGGGGUCACUUAGUUAUUAUGUGAGUUAUAUAGGAAAAAUACUUAAAAAAAUCAUCUGAUCCUAUUUUAAAGACUGUUUAAUUAUAAUUACCUGAUGACCCCAAGUAAUAUGAUGUCACUUGACUGUGACCUUGACCUGCUGACCUACUUUCUUCUUUUUUAAGAUGAAAUUUUGAUGACAUACACAGUUUUGCACACAAAUCGUAAAACUGAAUUUCAUUGACCAUGAAUGUGACCUACUGACUUUCUUAACAUUUUAUCAUCAGUUUGACAUUUGAAACAUGUAGCUCAUAUUACUCAGGUGAGCGAUCCAGGGUCAUCAUGAACUUCUUGUUAACUUGAAUAUGCCAAGUAUAUAAAGAGCUAUCCUACUUGUUGUUGCAUCAGUGUGCAUGUCAAGAUUCCUGGUUAAAGUUUUGGUGUAUUUUGUCUGUAAUUACUCAGUUGAUGUAUUUGCUUUAGAUCAAAAGACAGCUUUUCCUCAUCACCAUGUGUCAUAUUACGGAAUGGCCAUAACUCUUGCAUCAGUAUUUCAUGAAGUAUGUCCACUUUUGCUCAGAUUUGGUCUCGGUCACAAACAAUCCCGCGGGCUUCUGCAGAUGUUAAUACACAAAACAAACGUGUAUUGCCGCUAUUCUUGCAUAAAAAACAUUACACGACAACUGAAUGCAUUGUUUUCAUAUGUGAUGACUUUACGAUUCUGGUACAUUUUUAGUUACCAUUCAGUUGUUCUUGGAAAUGGUAAACAUGUUUUAAAUAUCCUUAACCUGGGCACACAUAUCAACAACACUACCAAAAGCGUGAUUUGCGCAAGUUACACGCAGUUCUUAUACAUUCACGGUUAUCAACAAAAAUUGAAUCGACUCUGACUUCCAAAAGGGGAUGUAAACAAGGGUGGAGCGAGUAUGUACAUUUUGGGGGGUAGUGCGUUUGGUUUUGGUAACUGAUGCAGCAAAACAUACUAUGGAUUAGAUUGCAUCUUUUAUGCUACAAGAAGAGAAUAUUAUGGAAGAAUCAAGACGCAGAUACCAGAUGUUAAUCUGCACAGAAAUACAUUAUAUACAUCCCUGACAAAGCAUUUCAAAAUAAAAAUCAUGUGUUAACAGCAUGUGAAUUGCUUUGUUUGCACAUGAUUUUUCUCACGUUAAUACAUGGGCAGAUCAAGUAAAAAAAGUAGUUUUUAUGCAAGAAUAUUUAUAACAGCAAUGUAAAACCCAAAGUUACCUUGACCUCUGAGAUAGAUAUAGUUUAUGUGCAAAACUCCAGCUCAUUGAGACAAACAUUUAUGCCAAACAAAAAUAAAGAUUGCUCCAUGCAUGUCAAAAUAAGGCCAAGGUAAGCUUUAAAAUGACCUUUGUCCCUUAAAUAUGACCUUUGCCUUUGAGAUUAGGUCUUAGUAUUGUUCACAACACUCCCUCUCAUUGUUGCAAACACAUUGAGAUUCCUCCAUAUGUCAGAUUUACAGCCUGGACAAGCUGUGAUAGGGCUUGGGAUUUGUACUCACUCAAUCUCAUUGAGGCAAACAUCUAUUAUGCCAAAUAUAAAUAAGAUUGCUACAUUGGUAUCAAAGUGCCAUGACUUUGAUCCCCCUCUCUAAGUGUAACCUUGGCCUUUCAGAUAGGGACCUGGCCCUGGUUUCACAAAAAAACUUAAGUUUUUACUCAUAUUUUAACUCAAGUUAUAACUUAAGUCUGAUAAACGACUCAGCUGAGUGAUUAUGUUUGAGAGCGUUUCACAAAAAAUCUUAAGUUAUUGCUCAGUUGAGUGAAAACUUUCGACUCAAAUCUUUUAAUAUUCUUAAUGAUAUAAGCUACAAUUCCGAUAGCUCUUCAGACCUCGCGCAAUAGAAGGAAGAAAAGAAGUAAAAUUACUAAAAUACGCCGACCAUCUCCGUCAAAUAUCGUUGCACAAAACAACAAAGCGGUACCCGUAGAUCCUGAUCAUCGCUGAGUGAUACUAGUAUGCUACGUACGGUGCUUUGCAAGGGGCGAAGGAAGCAUGAUAUAGCCGACCAGUUACGCGGAACUGAAAGGUGGACUUGGGGAAAUGAAGUUGCAGUCUAUGGUCCUGUUUGCCCUGUGUUGUAGGACAAAAUCUGAAGAAGCUUCUUCUCUGCACCUCAACUGAAAUUAAGAAGAUGUUUGAGAACAUCAAAAAUGACAGUCAAAAUACAGCAAUGGAAAAUAAGACUACUGGUUGUCCAAGAGUGACAUUAACCACAUCAUAAAUUACCUUCUUGAAAAACAAAAAAAAGACAGACUGAGAGGAAGGGUUUCAAUGAUGGCACAGACUCAAUUAUAGGUCUACCAGCUACCCCAACCAAAGAAGUUUCUGUAAAGAAAGGAGUACUUCCAACCCAGCUCUAUUAUGUUAUACUGUGCAUAUGGCAGAAGUGGUAUAAGGAAAUAAUAUAAUUGACAGCAACAACAACAACAAAUUAUGAAUUUUUCCAUUGAUUGGUGGUGGAGGGGAUAAUAUUGUUGUCAGUUUGAGAAGAAGAAGAAAAAGUAAAUGACUCGGAUCAAAGACCUUUUCUGAACAGAUUGAGAAAACAGAAGUCUACAAAACAGAUCAAAGAUGAUAAAAAGGACGAUGUUUAUGCUCUGGAAAGAAUAAGAUGCUGUUGGAAAUAGAGGACAUUGAGUGAAAGAAAAGCAAAGACCAACAGCUAUUUCUGUUAGGAAAAUAAAAAAAAAAACAAUAAAUUAAAGUGAUCAGUUUUCCAAUUUGAAAACGAGGGCAUAAUAAUGUAUCUACAUUUGUGUGUGCAUUUUAGCGUUGUGAUCAAAUAUCUAUUUCCCCUGAAAAGAAUGUAAUAUAAAUUUGUACAAUAGUGUAAUUGUCCCCGGGAUGGAUCAUGAUGUAUAUUAUAAAUAUUCAGGGUGUCAUUUGCAGAACCCAGACCCUUAUCUCAAAGGUCAAGGUAGCAAUGUUUGGUAACGUUUUUGUAAUAAGCUGGUAUAGAUCUAGUAACUGUUACUGGGAGUGAUUUAAAUUUCACACUGUUGAUUGUGAUGACAUGACAGACACUGUGUACGUUCCAUAACUCUGUUUUGAUAUUAUGGCUCUUUUUUACUCCGGAUUUUUUUUAUUGAAAAUAUUGUUUGGAUCUACUUUAAUUUAAUACUAUCAGAGAUUUGUACAUUUGUUUCUCAUUAUGCGAGUAAAUAGACCAAGAAUCAUUACUCAGACAUGCAUUUUGUUAGUAUGAGGUGGAUGAAUUUUGUUAUGACCCUUUGUGGUCUUUAUGUAUUUUUUUUGUUAAAUUUUUAAUUUAGAUUCACUUUUCAAAUACUAUAAAUGUUACAGCUUUUAAACUUUAUACACAGUAACACUUGUCUUAAUUAUAAUUAGAUCAGUAAGUAGUAAGAACCAUAGCUCUCUCUGUCUUGCAUCUUUUAAACAGUGUACACUUUUCUCAGUUAUCAUUAAAUUAGUAAGGAGUAAGAACCAUAGCUUUCUUUGCAGCUUUUAAACUUAGUACACUUUUCUUAAUUAUCAGUAUUGUCACCAAACUUGGUGUAUAGCAAGCUUAUAUAAAGACUUUACUAGUGGUUGUACUUAAGGCUGAAAAUGUGGUUUUAUGCCAGUGUUCUGUUCAGAAAUUGCAUAAAUGAAGCAGCCAUUGUCUGAAAGUGAUCUCUAGAUAAAGUUUUAAAAUGAUCUCUUUUCCUUAUAACGAAAUUUACUAGUUUAUCAAUUCUAUACAUUUAUAUAUAAUUCAACUCAUUAUGUUAAAAUACAUAUAAUAACAUUCUUAUAUAUUUUGAAAUUGAAAAAAAAAGAUAAAUAUUCUGUUCCUGUACAUCUAUAAUUAUGAAGAAAAAUGUGAUAAAAUUUCAAAUAACUCGUGUGAGUUGUCAAUAAAAUUUUAACAGA